CAAUGGAUGAUGUCACAACCAGGUUCCAUUGGCCACAGUCCUGGGGGUGAGGCGUCUGGGGCUGCCCAGACCUGCCCUGCCCAGCCGGGGUGUCAGCUGGGCCAGCCUCUGCUGCCACCUGAGAAAUCUCAUGGAGGCCCGGGCUGUAGCUGCUGCCAGGCUGCUUGGAAGUCACCCAGGUGGGGAUGCUGGCAAGGCCCUCGGGACCCUAGAAAGGCCGCUCUGGAGGCCUCCAGUGCGAAUAGUGCACCAAGACCCCCGUGGCAGCUCCAGAGGAGCGUUAGCACAGAUCUCCGCCGAGACCAACUGCCCUUCUCGUCCCCAGACACAUCAGAAGUUGCCUGCUCCCUGACAGCUCCCAUCAGACCCAGCAGCUGUGAGGAAGAGAACCACUGAGGUGGCUUAGGAAGAAAUGCCCGAGGAAUGACAAUCUCUCUGCUCUCGCACUGCCCGGGCAGGACUGGCCCUAAUUGUGCAACUUCCUUCCUUCCUGAACUAGAGGCAGAAAGCAGCCCUGCUGGACCAGAAGCAGCACCUUUCUGUGGGGCACAAGGACCACCAGACAUCGGGUCAGCUGAGGCAUGGUCCGCUAGGACCCAGCCCGACUGCUGCCUGCUCAGACCCUGAGUGCCCGGGCGGCUGCCUCUGUGAGGCGUGAUGCAUCUGGUCAAUAAACACGCCUCUGAGGAA